CUUCAUCUGGUUUAUAUUAGGUAUUGAUUUGGCACAAACAGAAAUUGGGGAGAAAAUGCACUAUGGCACCAGAAUCGUUUCAGUAAGAAUAAAUGGUAUAAAUGAGUUCUUAAAGAAGGUGAAACGUGGUUCCUUCUGUGCAGUAGGAUGUUUUGUUUCAAUAGAAGGGAAUAAUUCAAACUUGAAGAAGGAAAUACUGGGUGGAUUAACUUUUUCCUGAAUGACAGUAGUUGUAGAAGGGUGUUCAGAAGCAGCACAUCAGCAUAAUGGUGCUCCUGGCAGUGAGCUGCCAGCAGGUAUGGGAGAGAAAAGUCUGGGCUUAUUCUUUCUGCCUGUAUUGUACUGGGAUUGACAUCAGCUGGAGAGCAUCUGGAAGAGAACAGGACAGGGAUAACAGUAAUUGUGCUGCAUCUUGCAAGUGUUUUGGGAAGAAAUCCACUUUGGAAGUAGUGCAUUAAUGAAAAACUUCACCAUAAACCCUGAGAUAUGAAAAUUGAUGGAAGUGUGGCCGCAAAAAAGUUUUUGUUUUUAGCAUGACACUGUUAGUUUGCCCUGAGUUAGUGAAGAGAACUCUUCUGCCAUGGCCUGAGUUGAUGAUUGAUCACCUGGUGCAAGGGGUGGCUGGCCAGGAAGCACAGGUACAUGCAAUUCACCUCUGCUUCCCACCUGACUGGGUGGGACCCUUAAUGAGCUUCCUGGGCUCAUAUAAGGGCUAACCUCUGGAAGGAGAAUGUCUGCUGGGUGAAGGCUGCUUCCUAAGAAGUGUUCUGUUGCUAGAGAUCUGCUUGCCAGUCGGUCUACAGGAAGAAGAGGUUUCAGAGCAUUCAGCAUCUCCCCUGUGAGCCCCUUGUAUGUGGUACCUGAGCAGCAACGUGCCCACGUGUGCCUGGAGCUGCCCUGUACCUGCAGCGUGCUGCCUGCACUGCUGUCACUUGGGUGAAUUUAAAGAUUGUCAUUGUGAUAUCAUCACGACAAAUACUUCUCAGGAGAACUUCUUACUUCACGACAAAUCCAUCAUUGGAGAGGUCUGGGCAUCCCUGCUAUGUCCCAUUGGUGUCAGCAUUGGUGGAAGGAAGAGAACCAGUCCCUGCUGUGAUGCUGGGGUGCCCUAUGCUGAAUUCCACAGGUGCCAAGAGAGGAGGAACUGCCACUUCCUAGGAGCAGUGGUAGUUGACUGGCUGCCAACAGCUCGGGAGGAAAAUGAGCUGCCUGAGCUGUGAGAACUAUUUCUGAAGGUGAAGCCUGACACUGAACCAGAUGCCAGUUCUAGUGAUUGAAUCAAAACAUUCCUGCUGCCCUCAGCGGGUUUAGUCAGGCUGUCACGUCUGCAGAUGUAACAGCAAGGCACGGCACCAGUGGCCCUGCGGAGUGACAGCGACAGGAGGAGCAGCUGCUCAUGCAGACAGCACUGGAAUGAUGGAAAGUACAAAAUGCAAAGGAUGCAAUCUUGGAGCCUAUUCCUUGAGAUAAAAGCAGCCGGCAGAAUGAUGAGGCUAUUCUUUUUCUUCACAACUCAUUUUUAUUGUCAGAAAGGAAAUGUGAUAAUAAAGCUUAGAUUCACUUGUAUUUAUUUAGAAACGUCAUAUUAUUGUACUCUUCUUUGCUCCUAACGUUUUUAUCUGCAUACUGGAGAACUCUUCUGUCUGUAAUCUGUAGAGUAACCUACUUGGAUUUCUCAGCUUCAUUAACUAUGUUUUGUUUAGGAUCUUAUCUUGAGAAAUUAUUCUCUUAUUUCAUAUUUCAAUAUCUUCUUUGCUUGCUUUAUA